rnacentral:lncRNA from 10 species
AUGCGCAACCCGCGCGCCGUCGUCCCUGGCAACACUGGCUGCUCUAGCGCCUGGCGGGGUCUCACGGGCGGGCCUGGGCGCACGGCCAAAGCGCCAGGUCUCCACCCCCAGCCCCCGGCGUCCUGCAGCCGGAGCCUGCCUCGCCUGGCUCCUGCGCCCGCCGUCCAGGGCCCCUGUCCAAGCUCGCGGACGCCGGCGGCGUUUUCCAGCUCGAGUGCUCAGCCUAGGGCAGGCUCUGCGUGCGCCCCCUCGAGUGCCGGCCUGGGCCCUGCCAGGCAGAGGCGCUCUUGCGUCAGGACGGCGCCGCCGGGGCCCCGCGAUUCCAACUCGGGGGUCCCGGAGCGGCGCGGGGCGGGGACGGCCUGGCAGCUCCCAGCAGCGAGGGGCGAUCCCCGCCCGCGCAGCAGACCCCGAGCUGCCCAGGCCCUUCCUGCGCCACGUGUACCCAGAGCUCCGCCCGGGGGAGACUUCGCUGCUUGUUGGAGAUGCCCAGCGGUAGGGGGCGAGGACUCGGGAGGAAGAUAAACGGGGGAUCCCGUGUCUGGACUUUCUCCUCCACCCUCUUCCCUUCGCAGCUGUGAAUCCUGGGAGGGGAAGGGUGGCCGCCCCGCCAGCAGAGAGCUGAAGGUGUUCCGUGGUCAGUGAGGGCUGGCACUGGCUCUGCACGAAGAUCUCCUCACCUCCCCAGCGGCUCCUGGCCAGCUCCCCACGGAGAGCCCAGGACACUUGUCCCUGGACACAGUGGUGCAGCCAUGCUUGGGCCAAACCAUGAGGCCACCAGAACCGCGAAAGGCUACUGUACUGAGAGGGAUACUGCGAGAGAGGCCCACAGGUUUCCAAGCAUCCCUCUCACUCCGCACACUCAUCUCCACGACCGGCUUUAAGUGCGGCCUUGAGGCCUGGCUCCCUGUUUGGACUUCUCUGCACCUCCAGGAGCUCACUUCCCGUCACAGCUGGAUGCCUCCUCCCGCAGGCACCUCCCGGGCAUCCUCCCGCCCCAGGCUGCACCUUCUGUGGGACUGGCCCCCGCAGGCACCUCCCGGGCACCCUCCCGCCCCAGGCUGCAGCUUCUGUGGGACUGAGCCCCGCAGGCACCUCCCCGGCAUCCUCCCGCCCCAGGCUGCACCUUCUGUGGGACUGAGCCCCGCAGGCACUUCCCCGGCAUCCUCCCGCCCCAGGCUGCAGCUUCUGUGGGACUGACCUUAAGACCCCAUCGGUUCCUCCUGAGAGCAGCAGAUCUCAGCCAGAUGCUGCCGGGAGGGAGGUGCUAGCGUCCACACCCAGACGGGUCCAGUCCAGCCCUGCUCUCCCUGGUCUCCAGGCAGGGCCCUCCCAGGGUGGACAUUGCCCAUCUCUGCCUGGCCAGGGGCUGCUGACCCACUGGUUCCAGAGUCUGAGCCUGUCCUGCACAAGUACCAUGGACAGGGGUCAGCCGGGCACUGAAGAGGCGUGGCAGAAUUGGGCAGGGCAAGGGCCCCAGCUGGCAAGCUGGAGUCAGGGCAAUUCCAACCAAGAAACUGCGGCAGGCCGGGUGCAGUGUCUCAAGCCUAUAAUCCCAGCACUUUGGGAGGCAGUGGGAGAAUCGCUUGAGCCCGGGAGUUUGAGACCAGCAUUGGUAACAUAGAGACCCUAUCGCUACAAGAAAAAAAAAAAAAAAAAGCUGGGCAUGGUGGUGCACACCUGUUGUCCCAGCUAUUCAGGAGGCUGACGUGGGAGGAUUGCUUGUGCCCAGGGGUUGCAGGCUGCAGUGAGCUGUGAUCAUACCACUGCACUCCAGCCUGGGCGACAGAGAACCUCUCUAAAAAAAAAGGAAAAUGAAAAAUAAAUGGGGGCAGAAGCUGAGCCAAGCAGAGGCGGGCAGCUCCUCCUCCAGGGCCCACCUGGCCUGCUGGGGA